UUUAUGGAGAGUUUGAUCCUGGCUCAGGAUAAACGCUGGCGGCGUGCCUAAUACAUGCAAGUCGAGCGAACGGACGAGAAGCUUGCUUCUCUGAUGUUAGCGGCGGACGGGUGAGUAACACGUGGAUAACCUACCUAUAAGACUGGGAUAACUUCGGGAAACCGGAGCUAAUACCGGAUAAUAUUUUGAACCGCAUGGUUCAAAAGUGAAAGACGGUCUUGCUGUCACUUAUAGAUGGAUCCGCGCUGCAUUAGCUAGUUGGUAAGGUAACGGCUUACCAAGGCAACGAUGCAUAGCCGACCUGAGAGGGUGAUCGGCCACACUGGAACUGAGACACGGUCCAGACUCCUACGGGAGGCAGCAGUAGGGAAUCUUCCGCAAUGGGCGAAAGCCUGACGGAGCAACGCCGCGUGAGUGAUGAAGGUCUUCGGAUCGUAAAACUCUGUUAUUAGGGAAGAACAUAUGUGUAAGUAACUGUGCACAUCUUGACGGUACCUAAUCAGAAAGCCACGGCUAACUACGUGCCAGCAGCCGCGGUAAUACGUAGGUGGCAAGCGUUAUCCGGAAUUAUUGGGCGUAAAGCGCGCGUAGGCGGUUUUUUAAGUCUGAUGUGAAAGCCCACGGCUCAACCGUGGAGGGUCAUUGGAAACUGGAAAACUUGAGUGCAGAAGAGGAAAGUGGAAUUCCAUGUGUAGCGGUGAAAUGCGCAGAGAUAUGGAGGAACACCAGUGGCGAAGGCGACUUUCUGGUCUGUAACUGACGCUGAUGUGCGAAAGCGUGGGGAUCAAACAGGAUUAGAUACCCUGGUAGUCCACGCCGUAAACGAUGAGUGCUAAGUGUUAGGGGGUUUCCGCCCCUUAGUGCUGCAGCUAACGCAUUAAGCACUCCGCCUGGGGAGUACGACCGCAAGGUUGAAACUCAAAGGAAUUGACGGGGACCCGCACAAGCGGUGGAGCAUGUGGUUUAAUUCGAAGCAACGCGAAGAACCUUACCAAAUCUUGACAUCCUUUGACAACUCUAGAGAUAGAGCCUUCCCCUUCGGGGGACAAAGUGACAGGUGGUGCAUGGUUGUCGUCAGCUCGUGUCGUGAGAUGUUGGGUUAAGUCCCGCAACGAGCGCAACCCUUAAGCUUAGUUGCCAUCAUUAAGUUGGGCACUCUAAGUUGACUGCCGGUGACAAACCGGAGGAAGGUGGGGAUGACGUCAAAUCAUCAUGCCCCUUAUGAUUUGGGCUACACACGUGCUACAAUGGACAAUACAAAGGGCAGCGAAACCGCGAGGUCAAGCAAAUCCCAUAAAGUUGUUCUCAGUUCGGAUUGUAGUCUGCAACUCGACUACAUGAAGCUGGAAUCGCUAGUAAUCGUAGAUCAGCAUGCUACGGUGAAUACGUUCCCGGGUCUUGUACACACCGCCCGUCACACCACGAGAGUUUGUAACACCCGAAGCCGGUGGAGUAACCUUUUAGGAGCUAGCCGUCGAAGGUGGGACAAAUGAUUGGGGUGAAGUCGUAACAAGGUAGCCGUAUCGGAAGGUGCGGCUGGAUCACCUCCUUU
rnacentral:rRNA from 4 species